UCGGGAAUUUUGGGCAAUGGGGGAAACCCUGACCCAGCAACGCCGCGUGAAGGAUGAAGUAUUUCGGUAUGUAAACUUCGAAAGAAUAGGAAGAAUAAAUGACGGUACUAUUUAUAAGGUCCGGCUAACUACGUGCCAGCAGCCGCGGUAAUACGUAGGGUGCAGGCGUUAAUCGGAAUUACUGGGCGUAAAGCGUGCGCAGGCGGCUCCUUAAGUCAGAUGUGAAAUCCCCGGGCUUAACCUGGGAACUGCGUUUGAAACUGAGGGGCUAGAGUGUGGAAGAGGGGGGUGGAAUUCCAGGUGUAGCAGUGAAAUGCGUAGAGAUCUGGAGGAACACCGAUGGCGAAGGCAGCCCCCUGGGCUAACACUGACGCUCAUGCACGAAAGCGUGGGGAGCAAACAGGAUUAGAUACCCAUGUAGUCCCUGAGCGGGCUGGCAAGGCGCAU
rnacentral:rRNA from 1 species